UAUUGGACAAUGGCGGAAACCCUGAUCCAGCGAUGCCGCGUGAGGGAAGAAGGUUUUCGGAUUGCAAACCUCUGUGGAGGGGGACGAUAAUGACGGUACCCCUCGAGGAAGCCACGGCUAACUACGUUCCAGCCGCCGCGGUAAUACGUAGGUGGCGAGCGUUGUCCGGAAUUACUGGGUGUAAAGGGAGUGUAGGCGGGAAAGCAAGUCAGAAGUGAAAACUAUGGGCUUAACCCAUAGCCUGCUUUUGAACCUGUUUUUCUUGAGUGAAGUAGAGGCAAGCGGAAUUCCUAGUGUAGCGGUGAAAUGCGUAGAUAUUAGGAGGAACACCAGUGGCGAAGGCGGCUUGCUGGGCUUUUACUGACGCUGAGGCUCGAAAGCGUGGGGAGCAAACAGG
rnacentral:rRNA from 1 species